AUGAAGCUGGAUUCGCUAGUAAUCGCGCAUCAGCCACGGCGCGGUGAAUACGUUCCCGGGCCUUGUACACACCGCCCGUCAAGCCAUGGGAGCCGGGGGUGCUUGAAGUGCGUCGCCGCAAGGCGCGCCCUAGAGCAAAACCGGUGACUGGGGCUAAGUCGUAACAAGGUAGC
rnacentral:rRNA from 1 species